rnacentral:rRNA from 1 species
UACGUAGGGUGCAAGCGUUGUCCGGAAUUAUUGGGCGUAAAGAGCUCGUAGGCGGUUUGUCGCGUCUGCUGUGAAAACUGGAGGCUCAACCUCCAGCCUGCAGUGGGUACGGGCAGACUAGAGUGCGGUAGGGGAGAUUGGAAUUCCUGGUGUAGCGGUGGAAUGCGCAGAUAUCAGGAGGAACACCGAUGGCGAAGGCGGCUUCCUGGACCGGUUCUGACACUGAGGAGCGAAAGCGUGGGGAGCGAUCCGG